ACACUACUCAGUUAUAAUGCUAUUGUUUAUUUACGAUUUCUGAAGAACUUGAAAGUACAUUAGUAUAUAGGACAAUUGUUUUAGUCCACUUUUUCUAAGGAUUCUGCAAAACCUUUCAUCUGUCAAUGUCCAUUACUGCUAUAAAAUUGGCUGGCUAGUACUUCCAAUUCCUCUAUACCUCCAUGGGCUAUAGGGUAAGUAAGUUAUGUUCUUUUUCUUGUGUUGAUUUUAAUGUUAGAGGUUUUAGUUAAGCAUAUGUGAUAACUUGAAUCACUUUAAAUUAACGUUAAGAAGCUACAUCUAGAGGGAAGAUUUUUUUUGAAGAAGCAUCUAGAGGGAAGAUUAAAUCAAAUAGUAGAUAAAGAUCUAAUUUGAAAGUGACUUAGUUGAAUUGGAAGAAAUGGUACACGUUGCAUUCUUGUGUACACAUUUUAGGUGACUUUGUUNNNNNNNNNNNNNNNNNNNNNNNNNUAGUAAUUGUCCUUUUUACCUCUUUUUUUUCCCUACAAUGUUGAACUGUGUGUUUGAUUUUGAUGAAGGGUGGUGGAAAGGUACAGUGGUCCUAUGAAAACUUCCUAAUUUUUCUUAUCAUUUAUCUUUUGUUUGGUUUGUGGUGUAUUAUAGGCAUGCUUAUGCAACAACUUUUAUUCUUUUGUUUAAAUGAGAAUAGGUUGCAGGUGACAGCAUAAACUUACUGAGGAUUCAAUUGAUGUACUUCAUGGGAUAUUUGGUUGGGUAGAGGAGUGGAGUUAAAGCCAUUACUUUAUUAUUUAUUAUUUUCCUCUGCAGGAGUAACUUGACUGAUUACCUUUGGUAUUUAAUUUAGAUUUGAAUCCCUUGAAUAGAGUUGAUGCAUGUAGAAGUUUAUUGGGUAGAUGAAAAAGGGAAAAGGAGUGUUGCGUGAACGUCAAAUGUUGAAACUCGCUCUGAAAGAUGAAAAAGGGCAAA
rnacentral:lncRNA from 1 species